CAGCAGCCACGGUAAUACGAAGGGGGCUAGCGUUGUUCGGAAUCACUGGGCGUAAAGGGUGCGUAGGCGGGAUUUUAAGUCAGGGGUGAAAUCCCGAGGCUCAACCUCGGAACUGCCUUUGAUACUGGGAUCCUUGAGUCCGGAAGAGGUGAGUGGAACUGCGAGUGUAGAGGUGAAAUUCGUAGAUAUUCGCAAGAACACCGGUGGCGAAGGCGGCUCACUGGUCCGGAACUGACGCUGAGGCACGACAGCAUGGGGAGCAAACAGGAUUAGAGACCCCAGUAGUCCCUGUCUCUUAUAC
rnacentral:rRNA from 1 species